AGAAAAUAAAAUUUAAGCGAUAUAUUAGAUUAUUAUAUUUUUAUGAAAAUAAUCUAGAGAGAACAAAAAAUGAUGGUCCAGUUCACACGGUCCAUUAGGCUUCUAUGGCUCCGGGUAACACCGGUCCGUUAUCCUUCCACUGCCAAGAGAGGGAGGUUAUCGCUGCUCUGUGAAACCAGCCUAACGCUGUGCCCUCCGCUCUAGGACCCAUGGAGCCCGGGCCUUCGCCCAAGCCACAUGGAUCAACUCUUAGCUUGGAACGGGCGAGCCAGAUCAUAGUCACGCCGAAUCCAGCCUACUGGGCCAGAGUAACGUCCCACCACCUUAAUGCCCCUACUCAGGUUACAGGCUCGCGUUGCCAAGCCCGGCGGUAUUAGUGCGAUCAAAUGAGACUUAUAAAGAAAGGGAAAUAUUAACUUCUUGUCGAUGUUGUUUGUCUGCUACAUUUAAUGGGCAGCUUAUUGGUUUGGUUCCCUUCAACUUGUUCUUCCGAUACUAUGUCAAGUGAUAAUCUUAGAGAAAGUAAUGGGUGUGCAAAUUUUGAUGAAUUCUCAGUAAAAUGAAUUUGUGUGACACAGGAUUGUUAAAAUUGUGGUUCAAUCGGCAAUGGAAGCGUGGAUUGUGCAAGUGGAAAUAACUAAUGGUCGUCUUUUUUGCCAUUCUGUUUCAUCUGGUUAAUGGUUGUCUUUUUUUCGUCAUAUUGAUUAUGAGAAACAUCUCAUGUACAACAAUAUGACUACCUUCAAUUAUUGUCACUCUCUGUCUCUGUACAUUAUUAGAUUACUAUUAUUUUCCAUGUUGCUGAUUAUGAAGAUUGCUAGCAACCAAGUUGUGCAUACGAGCAGCUAUUGCAAAUAUUAUUUUCUACUGGGGAUGCAAAGGCUGCAUUCUAAAAGGGAACUAACUAAUGAAAUGGUUGAAGAAGGUAAAUGCUUUUGUGAACUGCACUGUGUGGGUAGUGGUGGGGGUGUUGUGGGAGCAGUAGGCUACUAAUAGCCCGCUGGCUGGCUACAUCCCUGCAUGCAUGCGUUCCAUCACCUUACUGGGUCACAGCCAGUCGGCGAUCUUUCAUUUCAUUUCCCUCUUUUCACUAUUAUAAUCAACUUUUUUUUCUAUGACAUCUCACUUUCUCCUCUUCAUUGAUGUGGAUGUGGGACUGUUAUACUUGUACUCCUUUUACUUCCUGUAACUCUGCAAUUAUCUAAUCUGCUAACAGUUCUUUGCUUUGCAAUCACUUUACUUUUGUUAAUGCAAUGUGUGACAGACAGUACUACUGCUGUGUUGGACAACAAGAAGUACGUCUGUUCUGUGCUUUCUCUCCUUCUUCUUCUUCUUUCUCUUUUUCUCUUUUCUAAAUAACGAAAAGGGUAUAUCAAAUUUGUAAGCAAUUUUAGUGAAAUUGUAAAUAGUGUUUACGCUGAAAAUGUACAAUUCUUUAUAUGUACAUAAUGUUGUUUUUUUAUAUAAGUGAGGUUAGUUUCCUAAAGCUCACUCUUUAUUAUUAGUUGCUAUAUAUUUUAGUAAAUACAAUAUUUGAAUAAGUAGAAGUUAAUGAUAGAUGUUUAAUUUUAAUUAUAUUUCUCCACACAAGUAUAUGCACACUGUGACGUUUGAAUUACAAAUUGUUGUUUUCUUAUUAAAUAUAUUAGUUUUUUAAAUAAAUGUAGCAACAAUUUUUUAUAUGAUCUAAUUCUAUGCCAUUGAUUUGAUUAAUGACAAAAUAUUUAUAAUUGAUAUCAAUUUGAAACCACAAAAUAAAUAAAUAAUUGAAAGAAAAAAAAAAUGAUGGUCCAGUUAGCACGGCCCAUUAGACCAUAUGGACUUGGGCGACACCAACUCGUUAUCCUUCCACUGCCAAGAGCAGGAGGUUGUCGCUGCUCUGUGAAACCAGCCUCACGCUGUGCCCUCCGCUCUAGGAACCAAGUGACCCCAGCUUUCGCUCAAGGCCACAUAGCUCAACUCUCAGCUUGGAACGGGCGAGCAAGGGCACAGCCACACCAAGGCCGGCCUACUGGGCCGGAGCAACGUCCCAUCACCUUAAUGCCCCUACUCAGGUUACAGGCUCACGCUACUGAGCCCGGCGA
rnacentral:lncRNA from 1 species